AUUUCCAUAGUGUAGUGGUUAUCAUGUUUGCCUCACAUGCAAAAGGUCCCUGGUUCAAAACCGGGUGGAAACA